AGAAUGUUGGUGAAGCUCCUGGUUGCACUAUAGGCUUAAAUUUUGGAAGUAAGGUGGAGAUUGUUGAGAAUUCAAACUGCUGAUUUUUAUUUUGACAAGUAUGCUUCCAAAAAUCUUUGGAGAAAAACGUGUUUUCAAAAUGACAACUCUAUUAGUUGUGGCAAUUAACAAGAUUUCGACACCUGGCAUCAUGAUGAUCAUCUGAUCAGAUUCUAGAGACUUCCAAUUAUGAAAUCUUGUGAUUCUCUACUAGGAACGUGAUUUUUCAGAUUGGAGAGAGAGACUUUAUUCUUACAUGUUCAGAUUUGAGAGAUUUUCUCUAGGGUUUGGGGUCGCCUCUUCAUCUCUCUUCUUCUCUAUGGAUGAAAUCCCUCUUCUUCACAUAUUCAAGCCAAUUUUGAGUGAUUCUCAGGUGUAUACUUGAGGGAUGAUGAAGUUCUACUCCAUUUACUUGUGUUAAUACACUGGGUUUUUUGGUAUGGUGUAUGAAUCUGCAAGAUUCAUGUUGGAAGUUAAAAUUUCUAUGAAAUCUUUGUGAUUUUGUGUAUAGUCUCUCAGUAGAAAGUGAUACACUGUGUAUUAGCACUCAUUCGUCUAUGGUUCGAAGAGGGCAGUUUGUUUUUGUGACCUGUGUGAUCCGGGUAUCUUGAUUCCUUAGUGGAGUGAGGCUUGAUUUGUGCUUCAUUUUAAAGAUAAGUCUUGGUGACUUUAUUUCUUGUAAUUGCUGGAACAUUCUUGUAAUUUUUUGUGCCUGAUUUUGGGGCUUUAUAGUGCAACCGAGAUUUAUCCAUUUUAAUAGAUGCUCAACAAGGGAUUAGGCAUUAGAAGUGGUCGCCGAACCUCUAGGGCUUCGGUCGAAAAAAUUCUUGUGUUCAUUUUUAUUUCCUGCACUUUACUUUCAAUUUAUGAUAGUGUUUUUGGAAUCUUGGCUAAUAUUGGUUUCUCUCAACUUUUCAAUGGUAUUAGAGCAACCUGGACUACUGGAGCUUUGUGAUUUCUUGAUUAAACCUGAUUCCUGAAACCUGCAG
rnacentral:lncRNA from 1 species